AAUCAACGCUGGCGGCGUGCCUCAGACAUGCAAGUCGAACGAUUAAGACUCCCUUCGGGGAGUGUAUAAAGUGGCGUACGGGUGAGUAACACGUAAGUAAUCUACCUUCGAGUGGGGAAUAACAUCGGGAAACCGAUGCUAAUACCGCAUAAUGCAGCGGCAUCGAAAGAUGACAGUUGUUAAAGGAGCAAUUCGCUUGAAGAGGAGCUUGCGGCAGAUUAGCUAGUUGGUAAGGUAAUGGCUUACCAAGGCUACGACCUGUAUCCGGCCUAAGAGGACGGUCGGACACACUGACACUGAAUAACGGGUCAGACUCCUACGGGAGGCAGCAGUCGGGAAUUUUGGGCAAUGGGCGAAAGCCUGACCCAGCAACGCCGCGUGAAGGAUGAAGUUUUUCGGAAUGUAAACUUCGAAAGAAUGGGAAGAAUAAAUGACGGUACCAUUUAUAAGGUCCGGCUAACUACGUGCCAGCCGCCGCAGUAAGAC
rnacentral:rRNA from 1 species